rnacentral:rRNA from 1 species
CAGCAGCCGCGGGAAUACGUAGGGUGCGAGCGUUAAUCGGAAUUACUGGGCGUAAAGCGUGCGCAGGCGGUUUGUUAAGACCGAUGUGAAAUCCCCGGGCUCAACCUGGGAACUGCAUUGGUGACUGGCAAGCUAGAGUAUGGCAGAGGGGGGUAGAAUUCCACGUGUAGCAGUGAAAUGCGUAGAGAUGUGGAGGAAUACCGAUGGCGAAGGCAGCCCCCUGGGCCAAUACUGACGCUCAUGCACGAAAGCGUGGGGAGCAAACAGGAUUAGAUACCCCUGUAGUCCCUGUCUCUUAUAC